rnacentral:rRNA from 1 species
UGCGCAGGCGGUCUUUUAAGUCAGAUGUGAAAUCCCCGGGCUUAACCUGGGAACUGCGUUUGAAACUGGAAGGCUUGAGUGUGGCAGAGGGGGGUGGGAAUUCCACGUGUAGCAGUGAAAUGCGUAGAGAUGUGGAGGAACACCGAUGGCGAAGGCAGCCCCCUGGGCUAACACUGACGCUCAUGCACGAAAGCGUGGGGAGCAAACAGGAUUAGAUACCCUGGUAGUCCACGCCCUAAACUAUGUCAACUGGUUGUCGGGGAAGCAAUUCCUUGGUAACGAAGCUAACGCGUGAAGUUGACCGCCUGGGGAGUACGGCCGCAAGGUUAAA